AGAAGCCAUUUGGUCAAAAAUCAUAUCACGUAUCACAAAUAAAGCAGAAGAUUCACAGGAUCUAUUUUGUGAUUCAAACACAUGGUCUUGCAGCAUAAGCACCCAGUUGAUUUACAAAAAUCAAUCACAUACGAAGAGAAGAGAAUGAAAUAAAUGAGCGGUGAUGUCACAUUGCUCUCUUACACUGAGACUCAUUCAGAACAAUCAAACACCUCAAAGGAUUUCUACCAAGAGGAGUUGAUUAGAAGUCAAAUACAGAGUCAUUUGCAUAAUAGCUGAUACUGAUGCCCAGUGGAUGGAUCUCAGAGGGAUAAUCCAGUGUGAAGGGUUUUUAUUUUAAUAAUUCAUAAUCGCCACCUGAUUCAUCGUGUGCCCAUUUAAAUAGAACUCAGGUUUGGUGUGCACACAGGAAUCAUCACAGGCAAUGCCAAGAUUAUUUAUUGCCAGGCCAAAUGUUUGUCCACACUUUCCACAUAUAUAUUUUAAGAGACUUUGGCAUCAGAAAUCUUCAGUCUUGAGGACCGGUUGCCAGUCACCUGCACACAAACCCAGCUUACUGCCCAAGACAUCAGCUCAUCAUGAAAAUCUCUCUAUUGCUUUCUGCUUUCACGGGAACUUUGUGCCAAACGUUCAAUCAAAACGAAGAUAAUUGGAUAAAUGACAGGUAUUCAAAUCAGGUAUAAUUUCAAUUGAUGUGUUGUUCUUUUACAGAUUUGAUUGAUCUACAUCAGAUUCAUUUUCUGUUUAUGUUGUUUGCUGUGGCUAGCUAGGGAAUACAGAAAUGUUGAACGAAAUAUUUAUCAACAGUAUCACUUGGUUACAUUAUUUUAUGAUUGUCUUUCUGAAGGUACAUUUGCUUGUCAGAACUGUUACAGACAAUGUUAAAACGUAUCAGUCGACUACAAAACUUUAAUGGUCUAAUGGGGGAAAAAAUCAGGGCAGAAAUUUCAGAAGUUCCAGACUUUUGUGGGUUUAAUGGGAAAAAGGAAUGUGGCUGAACCAGGUUCCUUCUAGGAAGAAAUCGAGCACAGUGACUUUGCAUUGAACUCAAGGUCAAAACGUCAGGCAUGGUUGUGACAAUACAAAUGUAAAAGAUAAUAAUCAUUUAGCGUCCAGAUACUUUUGGUCUUGAUUUUGCAACAUGUAAUUUGAUCAACAAUCUUAUCAACCCUCAUUUUUUGAGCUACUUGUUUAUAAAAGGCACUAAUCAAUUAUAUCUGUUUUAAAUGUAAAUACAUUUUGGGGUCACUGCGUACUCUUAUUUUAUGUAGUUCAUUUCGUUGAGUUAAUUUUUUUAAGUAAAAAUUGAGGGUGAAAUGUCUCAACAGCGCCCCCUAGUGUUACUUUUUGAUGUCUUUAAAUUAAAUAUCAAUUUCAUCAAUAUUAAAAUAUGUUUAACAUAUGUUGUGUGUUCCAAAUGUUUUUUUACAUUUAUUCAUUUAAAGUGACUUAUAAACACAUUCAAGAGAG